ACCCCCCACCCCUUUCCGGGUCAAGAAGCCACGCAGCCGCGUGUGGGCCCCAGAGUGACUCAUGUGAAUAGAGGCAGGAAGUCCAGCAUCUCCUCCUGCAGCUUCUCCUGUGUAACGUUCUGGAACCCUGGACAGUGAGCCGUGGUUCUGGCUCCAGCAGCCCAACAGGUGUCUGUCCUCCAAGCACAGCAGUGGAGCCCUGUUACCCAGACUCGGGCUCCGGAGGCGCCCCUGCUUGGGCCACAGAAGGGCACAGCUUUCUGAGUGCCGACCAGAGAAUGCUGUUUUGCCAAGCAACCCCAUCAGGGCGAGCAGCCAGUGGCAGCCAGCCCUUGUGCGCAGAUCCCCGGGCUCUGUGCUGAACCCGGGUCACCAGAGGGGCUGCUCCCCGUUUCCCAACUAGUGGGUUCCCCUCCAGAGCCUUGGGUGCCCUUUCCUGCCUGUUGCGAGUUAUAAUGACUCUCACCUGAAAUGGUCAGGUCCUGGCCGCUCCCCAGGCUCCAGGGCCCCUGCGUAUUGGCCCGUAGGCUCCCAGGCCAGCCCAGACCACAGUCCUUCGACAGACACUGUCCCCAAGUGCUCCUGCCCACCUUCUGCCUCACACUAUACUGCAAGGGCUCUUUUAAAGACUUGGCCAAAAUAAGACUGCCAAAAAUUCUCUAGGCUGGGCUAUUUUUGGUUCUUUUAAAAUAAACAACAAGGUGGAAGUUUCAAAGAUA